AACGAACGCUGGCGGCAGGCUUAACACAUGCAAGUCGAGCGCGUAGCAAUACGAGCGGCAGACGGGUGAGUAACGCGUGGGAAUCUACCCAACCCUACGGAAUAACGCAUGGAAACGUGUGCUAAUACCGUAUACGCCCUUAGGGGGAAAGAUUUAUCGGGGAUGGAUGAGCCCGCGUUGGAUUAGCUAGUUGGUGGGGUAAAGGCCUACCAAGGCGACGAUCCAUAGCUGGUCUGAGAGGAUGAUCAGCCACAUUGGGACUGAGACACGGCCCAAACUCCUACGGGAGGCAGCAGUGGGGAAUAUUGGACAAUGGGCGCAAGCCUGAUCCAGCCAUGCCGCGUGAGUGAUGAAGGCCCUAGGGUUGUAAAGCUCUUUCACCGGUGAAGAUAAUGACGGUAACCGGAGAAGAAGACCCGGCUAACUUCGUAGCCAGCAGCCGCGGUAAUGUGACUACUG
rnacentral:rRNA from 1 species